GACAGAGGAUGCAAGCGUUAUCCGGAAUGAUUGGGCGUAAAGCGUCUGUAGGUGGCUUCUUAAGUCUGCUGUCAAAUCCCAGGGCUUAACCCUGGCCAGGCGGUGGAGACUACUAAGCUGGAGUACGGUAGGGGCAGAGGGAAUUUCCGGUGGAGCGGUGAAAUGCGUAGAGAUCGGAAAGAACACCAAAGGCGAAGGCACUCUGCUGGGCCGACACUGACACUGAGAGACGAGAGCUAGGGGAGCGAAU
rnacentral:rRNA from 1 species